CCUACGGGAGGCAGCAGUGGGGAAUCUUGCGCAAUGGCCGAGAGGCUGACGCAGCGACGCCGCGUGGGGGAUGAAGCAUUUCGGUGUGUAAACCCCUGUUGCUCGGGACGAACGAUCCUUUUCGAGGGAUGUGACGGUACCGAGUGAGGAAGCACCGGCUAACUCCGUGCCAGCAGCCGCGGUAAUACGGAGGGUGCGAGCGUUGUCCGGAAUCACUGGGCGUAAAGGGCGCGUAGGUGGUUGGAUGCGCCGGUGGUGAAAGCGCAGGGCUCAACCCUGCGUCGGCCAUCGGGACGGUCCGACUGGAGCACUGUAGAGGCAGGUGGAAUUCCGGGUGUAGCGGUGGAAUGCGUAGAGAUCCGGAAGAACACCGGUGGCGAAGGCGGCCUGCUGGGCAGUUGCUGACACUGAGGCGCGACAGCGUGGGGAGCAAACAGGAUUAGAUACCCUGGUAGUCCACGCCGUAAACGAUGGGCACUAGGUGCUUGGGGGAGCGACCCCCUGAGUGCCGACGCUAACGCAUUAAGUGCCCCGCCUGGGGAGUACGACCGCAAGGUUGAAACGUCAAAGGAAAUUGACGG
rnacentral:rRNA from 1 species